GGUUCCGACCGCGACUGGCGAGGGUGGACCACCACCGGGGAGCGGUCGAGGCUGCACCGGGCCGGCCCGCACGAACGGGCCGCACGGGACGUCGCCCGCCUGGGCGUCCCGC
rnacentral:ncRNA from 14 species